CUUCCUACAUAAGCAGCAGUCAGACCUUCCUUCGAUGUCGGAGUGUUGACCAAGUUUGAAAGCCUGACUGAAGUCAGAAGCUCUGGAGGAGCUUUACCUGGAAACCUGCCUGCCUGCCCAAGGAAGCCAAACCUGAAGGUCUUAGCCUGGAUUCCUCCUUCAGCUCUCAGGGGAGAGCUAGGAAGUUGAACCUGAAGAUCUCAGUCUGGAUUCCUCCCUCAGCUCUCAGGGAAGAGCUAGGAACCAAACCCACGUCUGAGGCUGACUAGCCAGAAGCUAGACGCUGCUGCUGCUGACCUCUCUGUUACUUCCUCAAUCUCUGGACCCACUCGGUUCCCCAUCUCAAGGAUCUGUCAGAACCUCUUCAAGAUAUCAGUGAUCCCAGACCCGGACCUGUAACAGAACCAGUCCAUGUUUCUCUGUGCAUC